rnacentral:lncRNA from 1 species
CGCGCUGGGCCAGUAGCCGAGCCGCGGUGACGAACCGGCUCCGCGGUUGCGGUGUUUGCGGUUGCUGUGAUGGCGAUGUGAGGGGGCCCGGGGCGGGAUGGUGCUGACCCGGGUCGGGCCGUCUUCUUGCAGCUGGACAACGAGCUCCUCCGUUCGACAGGCGGGGGAAGAGGCCGAGCCGGGCGAGAGGGUUGAAGAUCAACUGGAUUAUGUAUUUGGUUCUGGAAUCUCAAAGCAGUCCACAAACAAAUUCUUCCUUAUGUUGUCUGUGUCAGGCUGGAGUGCAGUGGUGUGAUCUCAGCUCACUGCAACCUCCUCCUCAAGGGUUCAAGCGAUUCUCCUGCCUCAGCUUCCUGAGUAGCUGGGAUUACAGGCCCGUGCCAUCACACCCAGAUUCGAGUAUUUGCCAAAUUUCUAUGAAGAACUGCUUCAAGAAUUGGGAAGGGUCUGAGAUUUUACCCCACUUGCAAGCUGACAAGUUAGUCUGCCACGGUGCCAUGGAUGUUGGCAGGACAUGAGAGUCAUGGAUCAAGGUCGAGGAUUGUUUAUGCUCAUAGCACUAGCAAGAGUACCAGGUGACACCUGUAUGUGAGUA